GUGAAAUCGAUAUAAUGGAAGCGAAUGAAGUCGGCGUAUCUAGUGCGUAUUCAGUUGUUGCAUGAUAUGAUUGCUUUUUUGUGUUUUCCGCAAGGUAAUACGAUUGAGUUUUUUUGUGUUGUGUAGCGAUGCAUUUGCGUACAGAGUGCGACGAGUCAGUUGGUGUCGUCGGUAGAAGUUGUUCAAGAGGACGGUUUUCGAACCGAAACCUUGUUCGAUGAAUGCCUGAUUGAUGCUGUCUGGUUCAGCAGUGAAGUGCAGGACGAGUCGGUUUUGGCUUUAUUCUUUUGUUGGUUUUGUGUUGAACGCGUGCGUUUCUCGCUUAACUGGCUUAAGUGUGUGGUCGGAAUCACUGUGCUUUAUUCGUCGUAUAGUCGGUCACUCAUUCGACCCGUCUUGAAACACGGACCAAGGAGUUUACGGUACACGCGAGACAAUGAGUCUGACAAACUCAUAGUCAUAAUGAAAGUGAAACUGUUGAACGGUUUGAACACGAUCGGUGAUUGGAUUCGUCUGAUUGCUGCGUAGUGUUGCCCCAUUCCUGGAACUUGUUCUGGUGUGGAGGCUGAGCGUGUGCGGUGAGACCCGAAAGAUGGUGAACUAUGCCUGAACAGGAUGAAGCCAGAGGAAACUCUGGGUGGAAGUCCGAAGCGGUUCUGACGUGCAAAUCGAUCGUCUGAUUUUGGUAUAGGGGCGAAAGACUAAUCGAACC
rnacentral:rRNA from 1 species